GCCAGGUGUGAUGGCUCACGCCUGUAAUCCCAGCACUUUGGGAGGCCGAGGCGGGUGGAUCACCUGAGGUCAGGAGUUUGAGACCAGCCUGACCAACAUGGCGAAACCCCGUCUCUA
ensembl:misc_RNA Metazoa_SRP Metazoan signal recognition particle RNA